AUGAUGAAGAAAAGACGUCACCGCAGAAACAAUGUAAAUGCAACACAGAAAGCAACCCUCAACAAAGACGCUGCUGGCAGCGAAGAAGUCGGAGACAGGCUUAGCAAGCUGCCUAAUGACAUUCUACUCAACAUUCUGGAGAGGGUGGACACGCUCGAUGCAAUAAUGACCUGCAUCCUAUCAAAGCGAAUGAUGAAGCUCUACACCAAGCUCUCGCAGUUCUUCCUAAGUUGUAGUUCCAUUCUAGGUCACAAUGUUAGAACCAACAGUGAAUAUGUCAGAACCAACAGUGUUGUGGCUCAUGUAACGGAUAAUAUCUUGAGCACAAAGAGUCCGGAGAUCACCAUUAGCAAACUCAAAAUCAGAUUCAUCUUGAUGCAACCUGAUUGUUACACAAUUGACAAAUCUGUCGCCCGCACCAUGGCAACACAGAAGGUUGGUGCAGCUGAGUUUGAGAUCAUAACAGAGAAAAUUCAUAAGAAGUGUUCUCCUGCCGAUCUCCUCUAUCAUGCGAAGCAGUUCAAUGAUUUUUUCAGUGCUUGUCUGGAUGCAUUUGCUGGCCUCAAGCGCCUGUGGCUGCGCAAUAUGAGGUUUGGUGAACUAGACAUACCCAACAUCCUCACCACUUGCAAGCUCUUGGAGUCUUUGCAUUUAACCAAUUGCGACUCGGGGAUGAAUUCUGUGGUGCAACUAGAACAUGCUAAACUUACUGAGCUCGAGGUCGAGUAUGGGAAAUUUGAGAUAGUUGAGCUGACAUGUCUACCAAAACUCCAACGGGUGAGCUAUAAGGGCUGGUUCAACUCUCAUAAAGGUCCCCUGUAUUUUGGUUUUGUACCACAGCUUUCAAAGCUGAGGCUUGCUAAAAUUGGCACCCGACCAACUAGGACUCUUGAGUUAAGUCAGCUCCUUGGUAAUGUUCCUUACAUAGGCAACCUGCAUCUGGAUUUUCAAAGUGAAAAGAUUUGGGUUCUGCCAGAAAGCUCGAAGCUGCUCAGGCCUGUGCUCAGCCAACUACAGCAGUCUUGGAUCAUUGGUGCAAUAUGGUGA
rnacentral:rRNA from 1 species